CAGUAGCCACGGUAAUACGAGGGGGGCAAGCGUUGUUCGGAAUUAUUGGGCGUAAAGGGUGCGUAGGCGGUUUGGCAAGUUUGGUGUGAAAUCUUCGGGCUCAACUCGAAGUCUGCAUCGAAAACUGCCGGGCUUGAGUAUGGGAGAGGUGAGUGGAAUUUCCGGUGUAGCGGUGAAAUGCGUAGAUAUCGGAAGGAACACCUGUGGCGAAAGCGGCUCACUGGACCAUAACUGACGCUGAUGCACGAAAGCUAGGGGAGCAAACAGGAUUAGAUACCCGCGUAGUCCCUGUCUCUUAUAU
rnacentral:rRNA from 1 species